rnacentral:rRNA from 1 species
UGGGGAAUCUUGGACAAUGGGCGCAAGCCUGAUCCAGCCAUGCCGCGUGGAUGAUGAAGGCCUUAGGGUUGUAAAAUCCUUUCGCCGAGGACGAUAAUGACGGUACUCGGAGAAGCAGCACCGGCUAACUCCGUGCCAGCAGCCGCGGUAAUACGGGGGGUGCAAGCGUUAAUCGGAAUUAUUGGGCGUAAAGGGUGCGUAGGUUGUUUGAUAAGAUAUAUGUGAAAUCCCCGGGCUCAACCUGGGAACUGCAUUUGUGACUGCAUGGCUAGAGUACGGUAGAGGGGGAUGGAAUUCCGCGUGUAGCAGUGAAAUGCGUAGAUAUGCGGAGGAACACCGAUGGCGAAGGCAAUCCCCUGGACCUGUACUGACGCUCAUGCACGAAAGCGUGGGGAGCAAACAGGAUUAGAUACCCCCGUAGUCCCUGAGCGGGCUGGCAAGGCGCAU